rnacentral:rRNA from 1 species
AACAAACGCUGGCGGCGUGCCUAAUACAUGCAAGUCGAACGGGUAGCAAUACCAGUGGCGCACGGGUGAGGAAUACAUAGAUAAUCUGCCUUCGAGUCGGGGAUAACCAGUCGAAAGAUUGGCUAAUACCGGAUAAGACCACAAGAUCUGCGGAUCAAGGGGUUAAAGGUUUUUCGCUUGAAGAUGAGUCUAUGCGAGAUUAGCUAGUUGGUGAGGUAAUGGCUCACCAAGGCGACGAUCUCUAACUGGUCUUAGAGGAUGAUCAGUCACACUGGAACUGAGACACGGUCCAGACUCCUACGGGAGGCAGCAGUAGGGAAUAUUGCGCAAUGGGGGAAACCCUGACGCAGCGACGCCGCGUGAGUGAUGAAGGCCUUCGGGUUGUAAACCCCUUUCAGGAGGGACGAAGGCACGGCGGUGAACAGCCGUCCGUGCUGACGGUACCUCCAGAAGAAGCCCCGGCUAACUA